rnacentral:rRNA from 1 species
UGGGGAAUAUUGGACAAUGGGCGAAAGCCUGAUCCAGCCAUGCCGCGUGUGUGAAGAAGGUCUUCGGAUUGUAAAGCACUUUAAGUUGGGAGGAAGGGCAGUAAGUUAAUACCUUGCUGUUUUGACGUUACCGACAGAAUAAGCACCGGCUAACUCUGUGCCAGCAGCCGCGGUAAUACAGAGGGUGCAAGCGUUAAUAGGAAUUACUGGGCGUAAAGCGCGCGUAGGUGGUUUGUUAAGUUGGAUGUGAAAGCCCCGGGCUCAACCUGGGAACUGCAUCCAAAACUGGCAGGCUAGAGUACGGUAGAGGGUGGUGGAAUUUCCUGUGUAGCGGUGAAAUGCGUAGAUAUAGGAAGGAACACCAGUGGCGAAGGCGACCACCUGGACUGAUACUGACACUGAGGUGCGAAAGCGUGGGGAGCAAACA